UACGUAGGGGCCGAGCGUUGUCCGGAGUUAUUGGGCGUAAAGCGCGCGCAGGCGGCCUCGCGCGCCCGACGUGAAAGCCCCCGGCUUAACCGGGGAGGGUCGUUGGGGACGGCGGGGCUUGAGGGCGGGAGAGGUCGGUGGAAUUCCCGGUGUAGCGGUGAAAUGCGUAGAUAUCGGAAGGAACAUCAGUGGCGAAAGCGACUUCCUGGACCAGUACCGACGUUCAGGCACGAAAGCGUGGGGAGCAAACAGG
rnacentral:rRNA from 1 species